GCAUGUGAUUCCUGACCAGAUCCGCUGGCUUCUGUUAGCACCAGAACCUGGUGUGAUUAUAUGUUGUAGUCGAGGAGCUGCACCAGCGCCCAGAAGAACACGAAGAAGGAGAUUGAUGCUGACUAUUACGAUUCGGUCACGGCGUUGUCAUGGUGUGUUUGGAGAGCAUCAAAGACCUGAAGUACGAGACCUACCACUUCACUGAGUUCCUCAUCAGAGAACAAGCUGCUCAUUCUCUGUCUCUUUCUCCUUAUGCAAUUUUGAACAACUGAAUAAAUAAAUGUGUGAAUAAAAAUCAUAAAUGUC
ensembl:lncRNA